rnacentral:rRNA from 1 species
UAAUGUAUGGGGAUCUGCCCGAUAGAGGGGGAUAACUACUGGAAACGGUGGCUAAUACCGCAUAAUGUCUACGGACCAAAGCAGGGGCUCUUCGACCUUGCACUAUCGGAUGAACCCAUAUGGGAUUAGCUAGUAGGUGGGGUAAAGGCUCACCUAGGCGACGAUCUCUAGCUGGUCUGAGAGGAUGAUCAGCCACACUGGGACUGAGACACGGCCCAG